rnacentral:tRNA from 1 species
CGGAGUAUGGCGCAGUUUGGCAGCGUGACACCUCGGGAUGGUGGAAGGCACAGGUUCGAACCCUGUUACUCCGA